AUUGAACGCUGGCGGCAUGCCUUACACAUGCAAGUCGAACGGCAGCACGGGUGCUUGCACCUGGUGGCGAGUGGCGAACGGGUGGGUAAUACAUCGGAACAUGUCCUGUAGUGGGGGAUAGCCCGGCGAAAGCCGGAUUAAUACCGCAUACGAUCCACGGAUGAAAGCGGGGGACCUUCGGGCCUCGCGCUAUAGGGUUGGCCGAUGGCUGAUUAGCUAGUUGGUGGGGUAAAGGCCUACCAAGGCGACGAUCAGUAGCUGGUCUGAGAGGACGACCAGCCACACUGGGACUGAGACACGGCCCAGACUCCUACGGGAGGCAGCAGUGGGGAAUUUUGGACAAUGGGCGAAAGCCUGAUCCAGCAAUGCCGCGUGUGUGAAGAAGGCCUUCGGGUUGUAAAGCACUUUUGUCCGGAAAGAAAUCCUUGACUCUAAUACAGUCGGGGGAUGACGGUACCGGAAGAAUAAGCACCGGCUAACUACGUG
rnacentral:rRNA from 1 species